rfam:Gossypium arboreum cultivar AKA8401 contig_18886_3, whole genome shotgun sequence.
UGUUAAAAAUUUUAUCAAUUUGUAUUAUUAAAAACUGGUGCGACUGACGGAAUAACUAAACAGUGACGCGUGAUGUCACGUGUACCUCAUGCUAACGUAUGGUGACUAGUUUUUAACAGUAGAAAUAAAUGAAAUUUUUAAUG